GAUGAACGCUGGCGGCGUGCCUAAUACGUGCAAGUCGAGCGAACGGACGAGAAGCUUGCUUCUCUGAUGUUAGCGGCGGACGGGUGAGUAACACGUGGAUAACCUACCUAUAAGACUGGGAUAACUUCGGGAAACCGGAGCUAAUACCGGAUGAUAUUUUGAACCGCAUGGUUCAAUAGUGAAAGACGGUCUUGCUGUCACUUAUAGAUGGAUCCGCGCUGCAUUAGCUAGUUGGUAAGUUAACGGCUUACCAAGGCAACGCUGCAUAGCCGACCUGAGAGGGUGAUAGGCCACACUGGAACUGAGACACGGUCCAGACUCCUACGGGAGGCAGCAGUAGGGAAUCUUCCGCAAUGGGCGAAAGCCUGACGGAGCAACGCCGCGUGAGUGAUGAAGGUCUUCGGAUCGUAAAACUCUGUUAUUAGGGAAGAACAUAUGUGUAAGUAACUGUGCACAUCUUGACGGUACCUAAUCAGAAAGCCACGGCUAACUACGUG
rnacentral:rRNA from 1 species